rnacentral:lncRNA from 1 species
CCUUGGUUCGCCCCCCCGUCCCUUGGUUCUAGUAAUAUCCAAUUCUUUGUUAACAGAAAAUCGUUUGUUUUUGGGGGGGGAUUCUGGGUUUUGCUCAUUUGGGGUUUUUCUCAAAGGAAAAAACCAAGUUUAAGGAUGAACAGUCUUGUGCUUGUGAAUAAACACUAGUUAUUCAGUGGGAACAAUUUAUUCUAAUGGUAAUUCAGUAAGGAAAGGUGGAAUGACAACCCAUAAAGCCUUUACAUGUUACCCUAAUAAAUACUGUUGGUUAAUUCACAGUGCUAUGUUUUCCAUUUCUGGAUGAUUGGUUUGCAAUGAAUAACAAUGGAUGUAAUAUGAUUUCUGCAUGAAGAACAAACAAGGCAGAAACAUAAUACUAAAGAUUGUUACACUUUUCAUUACGUCGCAAGAGAGACUCAACCCUACGACAACAUGAAAUGGGGGUGCUGUUAUGAGACUCAACCAGAGAUGUUUAUAUAUAUAUAUACACUAGAUGACUACCAGGGGGUGCUGUUAUGAGACUCAACCAGAGAUGUUUAUAUAUAUAUAUACACUAGAUGACUACCAAGGGGGUGCUGUUAUGAGACUCAACCAGAGAUGUUUAUAUAUAUAUAUAUACACUAGAUGACUACCAGGGGGUGCUGUUAUGAGACUCAACCAGAGAUGUUUAUAUAUAUAUAUACACUAGAUGACUACCAAGGGGUGCUGUUAUGAGACUCAACCAGAGAUGUUUAUAUAUAUAUAUACACUAGAUGACUACCAAGGGGGUGCUGUUAUGAGACUCAACCAGAGAUGUUUAUAUAUAUAUAUAUACACUAGAUGACUACCAGGGGGUGCUGUUAUGAGACUCAACCAGAGAUAUGUUUAUAUAUAUAUAUAUAUACACUAGAUGACUACCAAGGGGGUGCUGUUAUGAGACUCAACCAGAGAUGUUUAUAUAUAUAUAUACACUAGAUGACUACCAGGGGGUGCUGUUAUGAGACUCAACCAGAGAUGUUUAUAUAUAUAUAUAUAUACACUAGAUGACUACCAGGGGGUGCUGUUAUGAGACUCAACCAGAGAUGUUUAUAUAUAUAUAUAUAUACACUAGAUGACUACCAGGGGGUGCUGUUAUGAGACUCAACCAGAGAUGUUUAUAUAUAUAUAUACACUAGAUGACUACCAGGGGGUGCUGUUAUGAGACUCAACCAGAGAUGUUUAUAUAUAUAUAUAUAUAUACACUAGAUGACUACCAGGGGGUGCUGUUAUGAGACUCAACCAGAGAUGUUUAUAUAUAUAUAUACACUAGAUGACUACCAGGGGGUGCUGUUAUGAGACUCAACCAGAGAUGUUUAUAUAUAUAUAUAUAUACACUAGAUGACUACCAGGGGGUGCUGUUAUGAGACUCAACCAGAGAUAUGUUUAUAUAUAUAUAUACACACUAGAUGACUACCAGGGGGUGCUGUUAUGAGACUCAACCAGAGAUGUUUUUAUAUAUAUAUAUAUAUAUAUAUAUACACUAGAUGACUACCAGGGGGUGCUGUUAUGAGACUCAACCAGAGAUAUGUUUAUAUAUAUAUAUAUAUAUAUACACUAGAUGACUACCAGGGGGUGCUGUUAUGAGACUCAACCAGAGAUGUUUAUAUAUAUA